GACGAACGCUGGCGGCGUGCUUAACACAUGCAAGUCGAACGGUGAAGCGCCUUCCUUUUUGGUGGGUGGGGAUGAGUGGCGAACGGGUGAGUAACACGCGAGUAACCUGCCCCCUUCUUCUGGAUAACCGCAUGAAAGUGUGGCUAAUACGGGAUCUUCUGGGUCUGUCGCAGGAUGGGUCUGGGAAAGAUAUUGUUUCGGUGGGGGAUGGGCUCGCGGCCUGUCAGCUGGUUGGUGGGGUGAUGGCCUACCACGGCUGUGACGGGUCGCCGGCCUGGGAGGGUUGACGGUCUGACUGGGACUGCGACCCCGCCGAGACUCCUACGCGAGGCAGCAGUGGGGAGUAUUGCACAGUGGGCGCAAGCCUGCUGCGGCGGCGCCCCGUGAGGGAUGGCGCCGUUCGGGUUGUGAACCUCUUUCGCCAGUGAAGCAGGCCUGCCUCGUUUGUGGGUGGGUUGACGGUAGCGGGUUAAGAAGCGCCGGCUAACUACGUG
rnacentral:rRNA from 1 species